rnacentral:piRNA from 1 species
AUCAGGAUCAUGCCCAUGAAUAGUCGGGGC